rnacentral:lncRNA from 1 species
UGUGGGAGCCCUCCUUCCAGAGAGAUCAGGGGUGACUGUUCUUCCACUCCAGACACACAGGGACAAUGAGACCAACGCAAAGGGCAGCAACAGAGAAGCCUCUGCCUUGCCAGGGUUCAGUUUGAUGUAUUUGGCAUGAAGCAAAGUGCUAAGCCAGGAGGCUGAGGGAGGCCCAUUCUCAGUUACCAGCGCCAGCCCUGGUGCCUUCGCCCUGGAACUGGAUCAUCAAAACACAUAAAUCCUGCCCCCUGGGAGCUCAUGGCACCGUGUCCUAC